UCGGUUGUUUGACUCCCCGUCGAAAUUGUAAUUCGUUUAUGAAUGACUUGCACUCGUUAUCUCUUCGGCUUCAGCUUUCUCGAGUAGACGGAUAAGGAAACGAGGAUAAGGGAAGUCGCGUUGAAAGGUUUGAUUAGUUUUCGAAGUUUUCAACGAGCCGGCAUUAAGGUACCAUUGAAAUCUCUACUAUCUACCGACUUCCUUAUUCGCUUUUCCUUUCUUCGUUUUCCUUCCUGCUCGGUCAGUAGAUCGAAACAUUAUCCAGAAAGGAAAGGGAAAAAGCAGCUCUUUUUAAGAAUUUUAUCGUAUAAAGCGCACAGAAGUCGAACUCGAAUCGAAUUGGAAAGUAUAAGAAAGAGAAAAAGAGAGACGGAACUAGAGUCGAGGGGAAAUCGAAGGAGUGACUUGUUAUCAAAACGAUUAUUCUCUGGACAUGCUUCCGAAUUGAUCACUUUUGCCAUUUGAAUACGAAAGAACAAAAUUUGCUAAGAUUCAAUAAAGAAAAAGAGUGAUGCAGAUGUGCUAAGAGAAGAGAAAAGAGGGAUAGCAUACAUAAGUACAUUCGCUGCGCCGUAGAUUCGUUUCACGAGGUUUGCAAAUAAAGCAGAGUUCGUGCGAAGUGGCUUUCUCCGCAGAAAUAUUAUGAUGCUAUAAAUACGUGGAAGCUCGUUAAAACGUGACGAAUAGCUUUAGCACGAGGACUAGUAGAACGUCGUUAUGGUAGGAGGGGGGAAUAUAAUAUUAAUUUAAUCGGUUGGCACUGUCGUUUGAACGCGCUCGAAACUAAGUAUCUCUCCCUUUCUCUUUCUUCCUGCAUAUUCUAGAGAAGAAGAUAUGCAUCAACGAGAAAAGGAAUUAGCAUGUGAAAUAAUACUCUCCAAAUUCAUUUUCUCAGAAGCUGAUGUAAACCCUUAGAUCGGUCAUAAAAUCGAGAUCCGAGGAGUACCCGUGCAUAUGCGUGCAAACGAGCUUACGCAACUACGUACGAAUUAAGUCUAAUACUAAAAAUAUGCGAGUAAGGAAUGAUAUUGCACGCGGCACGUUUAUGCAAAUGAAAUCACGAAAACGGUAAUAGAAAUUUUUAUUCGCUUGUAUGUACUAGUUACAUACAUUCUGCUCCAUUGAUUCCAUCGAGAGAAAACAGUAUUAAAAAAGAAUGACUUUACUUUGUCUAGAAAUUUUCUCUACAAGAAUUGUAAUGUAAAAUUAGCGAGAAAGAAGUUAUCGAGCAUUUUUUCUAAUCCCUUUAUAACUCCACAAAAUCAUUGCAGAGGUGUCUUUAACACAAUUUAUUAUUAAAACGCGCAGUGUACGUUCACCAUUGUACUUUGUAAUUUCGAGGGCUGACGUUGAAAUGCUUAUAAAAGUACGUGUUCGCGAGUGCGCUUGUAAAAUUAUUAUAAAAAUUGUAUGCCAGAAUUGCUGAGAAUUUGUGUGCUUUAAACUCGAAUUACAGAUUUAAAACAACGCGCGGAAAAGUACGAUGAUUUCGAUGUGAAGCAGUUUUUUAUAUUUGAGUUUUGAUUCGUACAUGAGCCUGCAGUUUAUAAAAAUAAUUAAAGGAAAAUGUAAAGUAUUCCAAGGCAUUUGGAUAAGUGAGUCGUUAGAAACGUAAUGAAGUGUUUGAAUGUUGACAAGCAAUACUGUUUGAUCGUUUUCUCUCUCUCUCUCUCUCUCUCUCUCUCUCUUUCAAUUUCUCUCUCUCUCUCUCUUUUUCUCUUUCAAACUCUCUCUCUUCCUCUUUCUUUCUCUCUCUUUUUCUCAUUCUCCCUUCAUAGUAAGUCGUGCAAAGGAAAGGUGGGGUUCGACCACAGGUAUUUCAGAGAUAAAAUUCUGCCACUUACCGCUCAGGAAUUUAUUGCACUGGAAUUUCCAACGAUAAUUACGCGCCGUGUGCCAAGUCGUGCUUACUCACGAAACGCGAAGACAAAUUAGGGUAGAUAUCCGUUUCUCUCCCCUUUCCUUUCGAAACAAGUAUUUCUUAAUGAAUUCUCGACGUUUCGAGUAGGAAAGGAUGUUAGGAAGGUUCAAGUCGAAGCUCAAAUGUCGAAAGAGGAAUCUUUCCUGGUCGUCUUACGAAAACGAUCGCUUCUAUUUCCUGUUCUCGAUAACAAGUCGUUCGCUCUUUCCAUUUGAUUUUAAUGCGAAAGGAAGGAACUUGAUCGUUUCUCGGCAUUCGUACGAUCACCGUGAUAGUCCUCUCAUCGUAAAGCUGAUACCGUACUUCGUUAUAGCAGGAUAUAAAUCUGAAUCGAACAAAUUCCAAUUGAGAGAGAGAGAGAGAGAGAGUAAGAAUAAGAGAGGUAUUUAAAGUGAAAAUCUGCAUGCGUGCAAUUGCGUUCAGUCAUGCAUUUGUUGAAAUUCACGAAAUACAUAGCUCACGUUCUCCAUUCGCUUUCUUUUUUUUUCUUGCUUUUUAUUUUAAUUUUUUAUUCCAAGUGCGUCAGCCCACUUUACCACUUUGCACGACUUCUCAAUUGACGUUAAAGCGACUCGUUGGUAUAAACCGGCUGAAAAUAUUAUAAUUUCGCGGAUAAGAGUGGUGGUAGGAUAUACUUUUAUUUUUGCGCUACGCUUUGCGAAGUAAGCGUAUUUAACUUGCUCCGGCAUUAUAUCUGGUUCACCUUCCUGUAUAUUUUACUUUGAGUAUCGUGACAUUACGAAAAUAUGCGAGCUCUUCGAAGAUGUCAGGAUGGAAAGCGUUUGCUCUCGUUUUAUAUUAUAUUGCGAUAUUUACUCAUCGCGAAUGAUAUCUGGCCCGGAAAAUCUAAAUUUCAAGGAAAAUAAUUCCGCAAUGAACGUCGGAUAUGUGCCGAGUACUUGCGAUGUGUUCUUGGUAAGAGCAACUUCACGCGUUUGUAAAUCAUUAUCGCUUUUCCUCUGUCUUCCCCUACUUCUCUCUUACUUUCUAACCUGUUCUCCCUCCUUCUCUCUCUCUCUCUCUCUAUCUCUCUAUCUCUAUCUUCCUUCACGGCUUUGUCUAAUUUUCGAAGCUCGUACUGAGAAACUCGACGGAACGCUUCUAAUCAGCGGCAAGACCCGUCAAGUUCUUCCGCAUUGAGUUACAUUUGGUGGAAGCGAGAGGAAACGAGAGAGUAAGAGAAAGAGAGAUGAGAGUACCGUAGCUCAGAUGAUUGCAUAUACCUUGAAAUGCUCCUUUCCCUGUUGGUGUUCCCUCUCUCUCUCUCUCUCUCUCUCUCUCUCUCUCUCUCUCUCUCUCCCUCCCUUCCUUCCUUUCUCCUAUAUUUCAAGCUUGCUCUUUGAGCUCGCAAGAACCCAAAACUUUGAUCUCUGAUUCUCGUUUUAUCUAGAGAAACCUCCAACUUAGACUAAGCUUAUCCACCAAUUCCACCACUCUUAUUCUCUCUCUCUCCCUUUCUCUUUCUUCUCAUUUUUUUUCUUCUCGUUCGGUUUUCUCUUCUUCUCCGUCUCCGUUUUGCGCUCGACAUUCUUGCAACUCUUCGCUAAUUUGUAAGAACAUGAUCAUUAUUGUAACACAGUUCAGCCAAGGAAAUAGAACAGUUGAGGGUUCAUUGCAUAAAAACAAUCGAGCGAAGCUGUAUUAGUCUUAUCACAGAUAACAGAUGUUCUCUUUGGCCUUGUUCGUCUUAUUUCUGAGAAAAAGCAAGUCCGAAACACAUGUAGCUCUGUUUAGUGCAACGAUCGAAAGUUUUGCUACGGUUAUUUCGCAUAUCUGUUCAAGCAGAGGGCGUUUCUUCACCAAUGUGUUGCCCCAGUCGUUUUACACUUGACACUCGAAAUCCUUGGCGCGUUCCGAGCACUCGACUCGUUACAACUAGUAGUUACGGGCAGUAACGUCCGGACGUGCAUUCGAUGCGGUAAGAACUUUCAGGAGUUACGGUUGCCGGAUCACUUAAUUGUCGUCGGUAAUUAGUACCAUUUCCUCUGCAACGGACUAUCUUUUACGGUCGAGAAGAAACGAAGAAACGUGCCGUUUAUUGAAUGGUUUGCAUAUAUUACAUAGAUAUUCGAUAUGUUAAAUUUUAUGAAGAUUAUCUAUAUUCGUUCAUAAAAUAGUAUAUUUGUUCUCUUUACUAAAAUAGUAAAAUAUGUAUUUAUUAUCUAUAUAUUCAAAUAAUAUUCGAUACUUUGAUCACGAAUAUACUAUCUGUUUAUUCAACCAAUCGAAAGCAACAUUUUGAAAUAUUAGAGACAAUUUGAAUGUAUGUAUGUGUCUAUAUAUAUAUAUAUUUUAUGAGAAUUGCCUAAUGAAGUACCGUUGAAAGAGAAAAAACACAUCGUAGCUGGAAAAGCGAUAGCCACGAAAUUGCCGGACGUGUAACGAUCAACCUUCAUGCGUAAACGUAGAUAGUUCUGUCUCAUUCUAACACGUUCCUCGUAUUCCUUUCCUUCAAAACUACUCAUACACUCGUAGUAACGACUGUAGCGGCUACACAAGCUUUAUUAACGUUUUACUACCGACUUUACUGCUGAUUUACGCGCACAGUUACUUUCGCUUUGUAUCACACGGUCGACGACUCGCUCGAUGAAGACGACGACAGAAACGAUUACGACGUUGAAAUAAACGAGAAUGGAGAAUCAAUGUCCUAUCCACUGGCAUGGAUCCUUUACUUUCAGUAUUUUUGUGAAAAUUAUUUUCUUCUAGAAGAGAGACAUAACUACAUAGAAAAAAAAAGAGAGAAAAAGGAAAAUAGUAUUUCUAUUUCAUCUCGUGUAUUCUUCUACAAUUGUUAACCUGUUGCAAUAUAAAAGAAUUAUCGUGGUUAGUCUUUGAAGACAUUUUUAGUACUUGUUCGAUGUCUGCUUAUUUAAUGUUGCGACGAUACGUUAUUUAGUUGGUGAAUCAUGACCUUUCUUAAACUUCGAGUAAUCUUAACUAACUCAGCAGUUGUUCCAAGAAAUAAUGGAUUUACUCGGAAUAUUUGAAAGGAAGGAGAGAACUUUCCUGAAAAAAGCUAGAAUACCGUUGGUUGAAGAGUAACAUACCUCAACGAAAGUCAUUAUUCUUCCGCGAAGAGUAGUAACUGACGCUUGUGAAACCCAAGAAGUCGUAGUUUACGUACGGAAUGAAGUAAAUGCGUGACACCCUGUCGGCUCACCGAUUUAAAUUAUGUUGAAAUGGAAGAACCUUGAUCAGGUAGCAAAGACACUUCCUUAAAACGCUUGAAACUUUUUUGAUGUUUUGUUGGUUCGUUUAGGAGUAUCACGCGAGAAAGAAAAGAAAAAAAAUGAAUGAAAUUUUGUUAUCGCACGAUACUUACGGUUAACGGGUAAUUUCUUGCAUAAUGACUAUAGUUGUAAUUAAGAGAAUAUCGUAAUGUAUUUUUAUUCUCCGUACAUCUUCGUUUUCAGCCAUGAAACGCGAACUUCUUAGUGCACUUCUUAGAAAAAUUGGAUUUUGUUAUUUCCAUGGCCGAAAAUAAUCAUGGAAUACGUUGUUUAUUUUUUUCUAUUUCUUUUCUAAUUGAACGAGAAGCGUUGAAUAAAUAUUAGAAAGUUAAGAGUCAUCGUAGUACCAUCGUCUUAGUCACGAGAAAAAUGCCGGAGAACGAACUCGAGGCACGUUCGUUUACAUUAGAGGAGAAAGGUGUUUCAUCAGCACAAGACUUUUCACACAUGCACGUAGGCGUGUUGUUACUCUCCUAGGAUGUGGAACAGGUGCGGUGAUUAAUGAACGUAAACUAGUUCCUAGUGUCCCCAGGAUCGUUACCGUCCAAUAUCGUUACCUGUCUAUUCGAACUCUCGAGCACCACUAUCGUUUUAUUAACCUUAAUAAUUAGAAAAAACUGAGAUUAAAAAAGACUCAGCAAUGUAAAAUAGUCGGUUCGACCGAAACAUUUAUUUCUCGUAAUCUCGACCAGGUCCAAUUUAAAAAACUGUUUAAUCAAACGCGUGUCUCUGCGAUAUAUUAAAAAUAUUUAAUGUCCUGGGCGUGUACGGAAUAUCGAUAAAAUCUUCGAAUCUGAUAAUUCCAGUAAGUAUGUUUCCAAUAUUUCCUUUCAAUGACACGAGAUGUGGAAAGAGAGGUGUCGAAUGAGUUUACUUUUCAGCUAAAACAAGAGAUAGCUAACGUCGCAAAUUAUAGUCAACGAGUGUAAGCUAAUAAAAUACGGGCCACCUGUGCGUCUCUCUCUCUCUCUCUCUCUCUCUCCAUCUCGUAGCGACAUACACACACACAAACACACAUACAUACCACGUCGGAUAUGCUGGAUGGGAUGAUAUAAUAUGCAUUUGUACGAUAGAUACAUUAUAAGGAAACUCUAUUGUCAUUUUGCGGAAGGGAAAAAAGCGAGUGACUCGUCGUCAGCCGGCACUCCCGUAAUACGGAUUAUUAAUGGUUUACCGAGACUACUUUUUCUUUUUCUUCUUUCUUUCCACAAGUCGAAAGUUCGGUUGUAUCAAUUUCAUGAAGCAUUUUCGGACUCUUUCCUUGCCUCUCCGUAACGGAUUACGAAGGAAAGAAUCGCCUUUAUGAAUUAUUUACGUAUCGUUGCCGGAGAAACGAUAACAUUACCUCGAAACUCAAUCCGCGUUUCGAAUCGAUAUCGAUAUUCGCUCGAAUUAUUCGAUUUUAUUCUCUAAAAUUUCGUAAAUGCAUCAACCGAACGUACUGUGUGCGAGGUUUUUUUUUACAUCAGUCGAACUUAAAGAGAAAAACAUUCAAAGUCAAGAAAAACACGUUCAUAUUCCUAAGAAUCGGAUGUCAUAUCUUCAUCGCGAUAAUCAUGUUGAGUAAUUAAGGUGCACAGGUCUGUUCGUACAUUAUUCAUUUACGAUUGUAGAUCUUAUCUGAUUCAUCCACGCAUGUAACUAUUACCACUAUUAUUAAAUUUUAAAAAGUCUCUUCUUUGUACAUGUAUAUUAGUACUCAGAAAUGUGUAUUACCUGAUAGGGAAAGUUUUAUCUUUGAUUUAACUUCACUCGCAGAACAUAAUUUAUCCUUCUGAAGAAGAUUCGUUAUUUCCUCUUUCUCACAAUUAAUUCCUUAUUAAGGAAAAAGGGAUAAGAAGAAAAAGAAACGAUCGUGAGUACAAUCGCCGACAUCUUUAGAGAUCUUUCAUAAUCACGAUCUUUCAAUCAUAGGACCAGCACAAUCAUGAUAUACUAUACUGAUUAAUCGCGUUACAUCGUUCUCGCAUAUUGCGACCUCAGCUCUUGAUGCUUUACGCGAGGAGUCGGCUAUGAUAUGUGUUUAGCUAUUCUCGUGUUCUCGGAGUAGGUAUCGAAAUUGGAUGAAACAGAAGCUUUCAUAAUGCGGAGGAAUAUAGCGUUGAGAUAGCUUUGUAUGUGUUUCCUCAUACCAUUGAAGAUGUUACGGCGUGGAAGCUCGUGCCAAUAACUCGGUGCAUCGGAAGGAGAAAGUCGUCGUGAGAGAGAAGAUCCGAGAGAGCAAGCAAGGAAGAAGAUCGGGUAACAACAAUACCGGUAAAUGAAGCAACGGUAACUCCGUAGUAAGCUUGGUAGUAUCUUCAGCGACGUCUGCUGCCGGAGAUAGUGUCCUCGUACGUGUGCGGUGAACGUACUUUGGGCGGUUUCAUCCCCUUUUCCCUGUUCAUCUCGUUUACCACCCUCUCCAUUUCUCUCACACUCAGGCUCAUCGAGGCAACGUGUGUUUUAGAGUGGUGCAGGAAGGUCUUGCGGUUUUGGGGCUGCGCAUACUAACGCUUCGGUUCGUCGUGGUGCAACGUAUGAGAGGGGAGGUUGUGGUGGUAGGGGAUAAAGAGAAGGCGGUUCAUACACGGAACGCACAGCUUGGAUAAAGAGUAAAGAGAGGCAGAGACAGAGAGAGAGAGAGAGAGAGAGAGAGAGAGAGAGAGAGAAGGAGAGAGAGAGAGAGAGUUGGGACGCGCGUAUCGUAGGUCCAUAAUUACGCGAAGCUGCGAUCGACGAAACAGAUUAUUAGGCGACGGGAAUCGUAACGGCCCGCUGCUCUAACCUUCUCUAACUCUACGUUCUGCCAGCUCUAUUACUAACAGUACUAGUCUGCUCUCUCUCUCUCUCUCUCUCUCUCUCUCUCUCUCUCCCUCCCUUUCUCUCUCUAAAACAAAAAUCGAGACUCCCCCACAAAACGGAUUUUUCCAAGACACUCGGAGACUCCCGUCGGAUAUAUUAUCAUUUAAACCGUGCACAACAGCUGCUGACUAAAAUCGAUUCGUUCCGUUGAAGGCCACGACGAUAGUGUGCCUCAUAAUCCUAGCUCUUGCUCUCUUCUGUCCUUUAUAUCUUAUAUUUAGGAUGCAUUUAGCUCCAGAAAUAUACCUCUGUAGAUAUCUGUGACCCAUUGUAUUUGAGAACUUAUGUAUAUGGUUGUAAUAUUGAUCGGGAAAGAACGAAGGCGAACAGUUUUUACUAAAACAUAGAUGGUCUUUUAAUCGUAAUUAUAAUAUCAAGAGAAUAAAUAAUGCUGUUUCCGGCUACUUGACGGUUCAAAUAUAUAGAAUUUAUUUAAUGAUGCAUCACAUGUGUAUGAUGAUAAAAUUCAGAUAUUAUUAUUAUUAUUCUUUAAAAUGUGCAAGAAAAACGAAAUUUAUCAGUAAAUUUAUGCAACAUUUCUAAUAUUAUACGCCAAUGUUCUAUUAUGUAAUUUUUUUCUCAAAUGAUAGAGAGUUAAAGUUAAUGAGUGUGACCAAUCACUAUGUAGUGGGUAAUCACUGCAUUGUUUACCGUAGACAAAGAGAAAUCAACGGAGUAGAACGAAGAGGGUAAUGCCAGAAGGUUGGAGAACACCGUGCUGCCUCGAGCGUGACUGCGGACAUAUGCAUAGUGGAUAUGCUUCAAUCUCUAAAUAAUUAAUCGUCGACGAACGUUUUAACAAGGAGACUGAUCGUGAUCGGACGAUCGUGAUCACUUAUCUACCUUGAAGCACGUUUCCUUCUUUUAUUUCCGUCUUUAGAGAUGCUACUUGACUUCGAACCUUACCUUUUGAGUUAGUUUCUUCAUGGAUCGAACUCCAACUACUGUUGUGGAUUCUUCACGUCAUUAUUUAAUAACGUCGUUAGAAAGUACGAGGAAUAUCGUUGCACAGUUAGCGACCUAGAUAAACCUCGAUUUGUUUCGUAGAAGUUCUCGGAUAUAACUUGAGCUACGACCGAGUCUAUUGUAUCGUGAGUUAUCGCGUUACGUAACCCUCCGCAUUUUUCUUUCUUUCUUUUUUUCUUUUAUUUUUUUUUCUUUUCUAUUCUUUUUUUGUCAAAUAAUAAAAGUUUAUGGCAGAACUUUGAUUAGGCGUUUAAUUUAAAGAAGGAACGUUAGAUCGCAAAAUAAUUUUUUUCACAAGCUGAUACUCAUAAAUAUAAAGGAGAUUGACGCGAUUGGCCUUUACUAUUACGAUAUAUUAAGAUAUGUAGGAUAUAAUAUGCAAAGUGAUCGAUUGGAAAUUGAGUAAACGAAAAAGUAUUUCUGUUGUUAGAUUUCAAAAAAUGUUUAAUUUUUUAUUUACCAAUAAUAUUUUAUAUUGAAAAGGUGAUUAUAUUGCACUAUAUACUAUACACUUCAUAAAAUUUACUAUUGCGAUCGAAUAUAAUUCUUUAUCCGUAUAAUAGCUUUCGACACAUGAACACUUAGAUAUAGACACAUAUAUAUGUACAUACAAGUAAAUACGCUAUAUACAUAUGCAUCGGGGUCGUAACGAAAGUUUUAAACUGCAGUUUCGACUUUGUGACGUCGACGCCAGCUGUGGGGGCAUAAAUAGUAGCAUGAAGCGGGUCUCUGUAUGAUAUAGCGAGGUCGUGCAGCAUUUACAUUGUCGAUCGACGUAAAUGUAUAAAAGUUGCAGCAACGGUGUUUCCUGGUAUCUAUGUUUCGCGCAAAUGUCGGUUGGAUCACAGGUGGUGGCUCGCUUGAAUCGCGAAAUCUUCCUAUAGCUACGAAAUCUUUAGCUAAGCAGUCUCGAUAGGUCGAAUGGAGGAGCGUAGAAAGAUUUGAGAUAUCGUCCGAUAGUGCCAUUGACAGACGAACGGAUGAACGAGGGGUCGCUGCUGUUUUUGGCACUUAGAGAACGCAAUAUUUUUCUGAUGGUAGCAUUCAUGUCUGAAAUGAAACAGGACGUAAACGGACUAGCUGAUGUAGCAUCUCCCUUUUGGCGAGAUUUUUCCCGAUCAAAGAUCAACACUGGCAGUUUUCUUCGUCCACACAUUUCGUAUUUUAUCGAUAGCAGUAGGAGUACACAUGUAAGAGAAAAAUAUGUCAUUAACGAUGGUGAACUUUGCCAAUAGAAGAAAAAACAAAAUAUUUCAAACAUGUGUCGGCUCUCUCUGUACCACUACCCUCUGUCUUUUUACUCUUCUGUAAAGACUUUACCACUCUCUACUUUUUUGCUGCUUUCUUUGCCGUGAUCCCGCGGUCGCUAAUCCGUCGAUAGAGUUUCAGCGGUAGGCAGGAGCUUUCUGUGUGAGCGUAAGAGGGGUUGUUUGCGGUGGACUCGUCGGCCAACGGGAGACGCAUUACAUUUGGCAGCGAUUUCACUCAGCGAGAUUAAGCUUAUUUUCGCCGGAUCGAUUCUCAUUGCCAACGUGUAUUUUCCCUUUUGCUAACUUUUAUUCGUUUUUUCUUCCCUUUAAUUUCUUUUUCCUUUUGAAUCCGUUCGAUAUAAAAUUAAAAUUAUCAUCGACUUUGAAGGAAUCACGAUAAAGGCUCGUAAAAUAGACACUGGAAAAACAAAAGUACUCAAGGAAAAUGGCGACGGAUCAUCGAUUGAGAAACAAUGGUAGUGGAGAGAGUUAGCACGAUGGUGUCUUGUAGUAGAGCGCUCGUCGCCUUUGAAGUUUCCGCUGUGGAGUUUCGGCGUUAAUUGAUGCGAGUCCGCAGUUCGAAAGAUCAGCCUGGGUACUUCUCUGGACGACCCUCUUCUUUCCCUUUCGAUUCCCGAAUGAGCAUCGAAGACCCUCAUCGUUCUCCAACGGCUUUAACGAGGCAAGAUUACUUCAUCCGUUCCAGAUCUUUUCUUCGUCUUUCUCUUCCAACCCCGAACAGAAGCUCUCUCCUCUCACUUCCUUUUCUCUCUUUCUCUUCUACAUUCGAUUCAAGUUUUCGAAUUUCCCUAACUAACUUUUACAAUAUCUCCCAUCCUAGUCUUUCGUUUCUAUCCAUAGAAUCUGUUCGUAUUCUCGAUUCCAAACAUAUCUUACUUCUCGUAAAGUACUCUCGUUUCGAGAAUUUUUACAAUUUUUCCAAAGAAACGAGAAUAAUUCUCGUCUCGUUUAUUAUUAUAUUUCUUUAUAUCCGUAUAAAUCUGACGAUAGUGGAACGUUUCACGUGAACGUUAAUCCAGGCGUUAGAAGCGACAAUAAGGAAUAUAAGAGAGGCAAAAUAAACGAAGGGAAUUUGUUUUCCCGUUGGUAAGCUCUAUGUGUAAAGACGCUGCUAGAAUCUAGUACAAAAAAAGAAAGAGGAUUUUAGAUUUUAAAGGAUUUUAAGGACGAUAGAUUUGCUCGAUCGACUUUUCCUUUUAUAUUUUUCUUCGAUUAUUUACGUAGGUCGGUAAAGAAAAAAAAAAAUAAAUAGAAAACGUGUUCCGUAAAAUAAAUAGGAAUUUUGUAUCGUCUAGACACGUGUAACGUAUAAGGUCUAACGUUUCGACGAAAGUAUUCCCACGCGUUUUAAAUCGAGUCGACUAUGCCGUCGCGGACCGAAACGGAUAUUUGAUACAGAAACGAUACGUUUCAGUCGUAGCAUUCUAGACGGGCGUGCCGAAUGUCGCGGAGCUUGGUGUAAAUUUCGCAGCAGGUAAAGAGAGAAAGAGAGAGAGAGAGAAAGAGAAAGAAAGAGAGAGAGAGAGAGAGAGAAGGAAUGAGGACGAAGGGUCGAAACGCGUCCGUAAAGAAACACGAGCAUGCAGCGUCGGACUUAUUGUGAGGGGAACAAUGGUAGGAAACGCGGCCUAGCCCCGCAAUCGUAUAAAUUAGAGGGCCAGGACUCUCUCCCUCUCUCCUAUUCUCUCUGAGGACACUUUGGCCCUCUCGAACGACCCUUCCCUCCGCGCAUAUUAAAUGCAGCACGCCUCGUGUCCCCGCCCGUCGUUCACUAAGGUAUUCCUAAAUUCCGUCGUCGAGCGCCACUUAUCUCUGAUUUCGUAGUCCUCCAUUGUACCGUGCCGGCCAACCGACGUACCUACCUACAUAUUCGUUCGCCGAGCACGUAGAUAAAAUUCACUUUUGGACACGUCCCACCAAUGGCUAACGCGACCAUUUACCCGUUGGACCGUUUUCGUUCUUAGGCCUGUUGUCCGCCGACUUUUUCCACCGAAUAAAUUUGCAAAUUCUUUCGCACUGAAUUAUCUCAGUUAUCGUUAUAGUUUAUUUCGAGAAAAUAUUUUCCUCCUAUCUAUGCUUUUGCCUUCGGCAAGCACUUCGUCAUCGUGAGUUAGUAGCAGCAGCAGCAGCAGCUUGGAUAUCUCUCCCUUUGAUGUUUGCGCGAAGCAAACCGGUACUCUCGAGUCCAAGGUGAUAGCUGUGUAAACACGAAUACGCGCCACGGCUUUCGGCAACUUUUCGUUCUCUAAUCGUAAUAACGUGGUCGGUCGAUAAGUUUUUAACAUAGUUCCUAACGCGGCUACGCAAACGGCACUGUUGUUACACGUCAGUGCUUUUCGCCGCAUUUUCGGAUUCCCCUUUCUGAUUACAUCAAGCCAGCUUGAAACUUGCUGUUGCAUUUACCAUGCAUAUUUUCUCGGGUCGUCUUCUCGCACUGUUUGCGCCCUCGUUAACACAUUUUCAACUGUCUUGUUACCUUUCAAACGUUUCUCUCUCUCUCUCUCUCUCUCUCUCUGUCCCCCAUCCUUCUGCAGGUAUAUAUGUAUGUAUGUAUGUGUGUGUGUGUCAUAUAUGUAACCCUCCGUUAACUAAUAUACAUUAUUUUAUUUACUAAUAUAUGUAUAUAUAUAUAUAUAUAUAUAUAUCAUCCUUUUUUGUUAUAAAAAGAAGACGUCGUUAGUAGUUUGUUGAGUAAAAAGAUGUGUAUUGCAUAUACGCGAUGAAUUUUAUCUUCUUUCGUCCCUCCGUUAUCUCAAUUAGUAUUAAAUAAGAGAAAAAUCGAUUUACAAAAACUUUUAAAUCGUAUUUUACGACAAACUAGUUAAUUAUGUUGAGUAUUUGGAUACGUAAAAGGUUUGUAAAUACAAAGACUUCAAUUAAUGACAAUACGAAUAAUCUAUAUGAAGAGUGUAAAACCAGUAUUUAAUAUUUAUUUUGUGUACGAUAAUAUUUAGCAUUCAGUAUCCCAUAAAACAAUUUUUCAGUAUUUUAUUUAUUGAGUCACAUAUGUAUGUAUCUAUUUUAUUUACAUUUAAAUAAUGGUAAGCUUUCAUAGCAAUCAUACUAAGCUUAUAUAAAAGAAUUUAUAUAAAGUAGUAGUGUGUCAGUAGGAAAACGAGUUUAGUUACACGCAUCGAGGAAGAAGAAAAAGUUAGUUUUUUCUGCUUGCUCACCUCGCUGAGACUUAUUCCCGGAAUUUAUAUAGGUGAGAGUGCGAUAUCCAUAUAUGGGGGACUCACGAAGCGUAGACAGUUUUUUUUGUCUAUUUGUUUCUCGCUAUAGCACGGUUGUCUUUCCAAGAAAUUAUAUAGGUUAGUGUGCUAGUUUGUUGAGGUUUCUAUAUUAGGGAUAUUUUCCGGAACUUUUUAUUUCUUUUUUCAUGUACUUUACAGAUUUUUGUUGGAUUCUUGUCCAAGACAUUAACAGUUUAUCGACUAUUAUAUUUUUAUUUAUGUUUGAACGUUUUUUUCUAUUAAAAGAAGUAAAUAUAUCUGCUUCUUUUUGUACAAAAUUUAGCACAGAAAUGCUUUUUUACGAAUUUACAUGUUUUUUUUUUUCUGUACAGAAUAAGAAGAUAUUCGUUUCGCAUAAACGGUUCUUUCCUUAGUGCGAUAUCUUCAGAAUGUAAUUAAAUUUAUUCAUCGUAUACUUUCUCCGAUAUUUUCUUCAAAUUGACGAGAGACUCGAGUAGACGCAAUCUAGACGUCGUGGUCGUUAACGAUUUAUAUUCGAGUGUCGUCAUAAUCAUGUAAAGUACAGAACACGAAUCAAUUUCCUCGCUUAGACGAUGGUCGUACGCUACUACCAUAGCUGAGUAGAAAACAGAGGUAGAAAAAGUAUGACGAGAAGUAUGUACGCGAUGCAGUACUUGUACGAAGAACUUUCCAAGAGUCGAGUUGAAGCAGUCAGACUAUUUUACUUUUUCUAUCAU